GUUUUCUCCUACUUCCAGAACUUUCUCAGUUGUGUGUGUGAGUACGCCUGGCUUUUCAUCAAAGAGCUUUGCCGUCUUGAUGCUUCCUUUUCUGUGAACACAGCAAUAAAUAGAUUCUGCAGAACAAAUGACCAGGAGAAAGGACUUUGUGCUCCUUCACCUCAGAAACCUGAACUCAGAAUUUCCUUGUAGACACUUUUCAGGCCUUUGUUUGCUGGAGACUGGAGUUCCCUGAGAGGAUUAAGGGUGUGGUGGGGAGUGUCUAAAGGAGCCCAGUGCCUUGAGGGCAG
rnacentral:lncRNA from 10 species